rnacentral:snoRNA from 1 species
ACUGCAUUGAAAAAAAAAAAAAGUGGCUGCUGUGUCACAUGUGCGUCAGCAGGUGGCAGAGAGGAGAGGCUAUAUCCAUGCUCAGUGUUAAUGACCUCUGAUCAUCUCGAUGAUUGCAGCCUACCAUU